AUGGAGAAGCUCGGGGCGAACCCGGCCAACUCCUGCCCGCUCACGCCGCUGGGCUUCCUGGAGCGUGCCGCCACCGUGUUCGGCGACUGCCCCUCCGUCGUCUACCGCGGCACCGUCUUCACCUGGUCCCAGACCUACCGCCGCUGCCUCCGCCUCGCCUCCGCGCUCGACGUCGUGUCCGUGCUGCUGCCGAACGUGCCGGCCAUGUACGAGGCGCACUUCGGCGUGCCAAUGAGCGGCGCCGUGCUCAACACCAUCAACACGCGCCUCGACGCGCGCACGAUCGCCGCCGGGCCACGCCGCACCGCGCGUCGUGCUCGUCGAGGAUACCCACGACCACGAGAAGGAUCGUGGGUCCGGCCGACCAGCGAGUGGGACCCGAUGGUGCUCAACUACACCUCCGGCACCACGGCUGCGCCCAAGCGGGUCGUGCACUGCCACCGCGGCAUCUUCGUGGUCACCAUGGUGUCGCUUGUGGACUGGGCGGUGCCGCCGCGGCCGACGUUCCUGUGGACGCUGCCCAUGUUCCAUGCCAAUGGGUGGAGCUUCCCUUGGGGAAUGGCCGUCGUCGGGGGCACCAACGUCUGCCUCCGCCGCGUCGACGCCAAGAAUGUCUACGCCGCCAUCACGGAUCACGAGAUCACACACCUCUGUGGCGCGCCCGUCGUGCUCAGCAUGCUGGCCAACGCGCCGGAGGGUGUACGCAAGCCUCUGCACAGUAAGGUACGGAUCAUGACUGCCGGCUCGCCGCCGCCUGCUGCGGUGCUGCAUCGUGUUGAGGCAUUGGGCUUUGAGCUCAGCCAUGGGUACGGGCUAACAGAGACUGGAGGCCACGUCGUGUCGUGCGCGUGGAAGGGCGAGUGGAACAAGCUGCCGGCGUCGGAGCGCGCGCGGCUCAAGGCGAGGCAGGGCGUGCGCACGCCCGGCAAGGCCGAGGUGGACAUCGUCGACGCCGACACAGGCCGCAGCGUGCCCCGAGAGGGCUCCACGAUGGGCGAGAUCGUGCUCCGCGGCGGGUGCAUCAUGCUGGGCUACCUCAACGACAGCGAGGCGACAAAGGCGGCGAUUCGGGACGACGGGUGGUUCUACACGGGGGACGUGGGCGUGAUGCACCCGGACGGGUACCUGGAGAUCCGCGACCGGUCCAAGGACGUGAUCAUCAGCGGCGGCGAGAACAUCAGCAGCGUGGAGGUGGAAUCCAUGCUCUACGGCCGCCCGGCGGUGAGCGAGGCGGCGGUGGUGGCGCGGCCGGACGAGUUCUGGGGGGAGACACCGUGCGCGUUCGUGAGCCUGAAGGAAGACGCGGCGGGCACGGUGACCACGGCCGAGGUCAUGGCAUGGAGCCGGGAGCGCAUGGCGGGGUACAUGGUGCCCAAGACCGUGGUGUUCCGCGCCGAGCUGCCCAAGACGUCCACCGGCAAGGUCAAGAAGUACGUGCUGCGGAAGCUCGCCAUGGAGAUGGGCCCCACUUGCAGGGUUAGCAGCAGCAGCAGCAGCAAGAUGUAG
rnacentral:rRNA from 1 species